AAGAUGUGGCGCGUUAUUUUUGUUACUCAGUAUACGCAUAUGUAUAAAUUUAUAUUAUACUUAUGUCGUGACUCAGUCUAAAUAUAUGAAGUUCAUUCAACAUGGCCAAGUGCUAACUUAAUUCCACUGUAAAUCUCUAAUCAUAGAGAAAUGGACGAUGAAAAAAAGAAAAAGAUUUUAUGUGAUGAACUUAACACAUUACGGACAUACCAGCAGCUAGAACGAACAAAAAUGUCAAUAGCGAUAAAUGAAUUGAUUUCUUACUGCGAACAAUGUAAAUCAGCCGACAUGUUAUUAGUUCCCUACGAUGAACGUCCAAUAGGACCGAAAAGACAACGGACGUGUUAUGUGAACAUUUUCUUUGGAGGUUGUUUAUCUGGACUGUGUGAUUGCGCUAAAUGAUCACGUGACAUGUUUAACAAGACUAUUGAUAGAUUGAAUUGUAGUACAUUAUUUUUAAAAAUGGUUUAUUUCCUAAUUUUUCUUCACUUUUCUUGUUAUUAAAAUUGAAAAUGGAAA